UGACUUUAUUUCAUGCUAAUCUACCUAUCCUUUUCGCAAACUUCGGCACACGAGAACUUGUAGAAAACUAACUUUACGGUAAUCAUUUAGCACUAAUCCCCGGAGAUAAGUAAUAUCAAGCCAUCCUCCUCAUCUAUCGAGUGACCAAUCGAUUGCUGACAACAGAUUGCUUGUCGUAAUCCGGCCAGUAAUUGUCGUACUGGCCACUUGACGCCUGCGUCAGUCCGCCGUCCCUCCUCAGGGGGUAGGCCUUUUACGGUAUGGGACCUUGUUUAUCGAUAUGUAGUUAAGUUGCCUGUAUAUAAUUGAAAUAACCAAUGCAAUGUCCUUAAAGUUUUGGCCUUUGGUUUGCAGUAACCAUCUAAAAUGAACAGGUCUUUUUGUGUGUUAACGACUAUUUGCCUGGUGCUGUUUACGAUUUCAAAUGCGCUGUUCAUCAAAAAGAGUAUGUUUGACGACAGUCCACAAAGAACGCUAGAUUAUUUUUCAAAAAGAGGCUGGUGCUUUAACAUGACCCCCGACUGCCCCCUCAUGAUCGGCCCGGGGGAGAAGGUGUUACUGUGUAAUAUGCCAUACUAUCGACGUGUCUGCUGUCGGUAUUGUAUGGAAAGCUGACGAAGAUGACGAAUUAAGAAUGAGCAAAAUCAAGGAUGGCAUUUCAGCGCAGAAAAUACUAUUUUAUAUUAUUGUAUAAAAUUCACAAAACAAACAUUUGUAUUUCUUUAGUUU